UUAAAUUGAAGAGUUUGAUCAUGGCUCAGAUUGAACGCUGGCGGCAGGCCUAACACAUGCAAGUCGAACGGUAACAGGAAGCAGCUUGCUGCUUUGCUGACGAGUGGCGGACGGGUGAGUAAUGUCUGGGAAACUGCCUGAUGGAGGGGGAUAACUACUGGAAACGGUAGCUAAUACCGCAUAACGUCGCAAGACCAAAGAGGGGGACCUUCGGGCCUCUUGCCAUCGGAUGUGCCCAGAUGGGAUUAGCUAGUAGGUGGGGUAACGGCUCACCUAGGCGACGAUCCCUAGCUGGUCUGAGAGGAUGACCAGCCACACUGGAACUGAGACACGGUCCAGACUCCUACGGGAGGCAGCAGUGGGGAAUAUUGCACAAUGGGCGCAAGCCUGAUGCAGCCAUGCCGCGUGUAUGAAGAAGGCCUUCGGGUUGUAAAGUACUUUCA
rnacentral:rRNA from 1 species